UACGGAGGAUGCAAGCGUUAUCCGGAAUGAUUGGGCGUAAAGCGUCCGCAGGUGGCUAUGUAAGUCUGCUGUUAAAGAGUGAGGCUCAACCUCAUAAGAGCAGUGGAAACUACAUGGCUAGAGUGCGUUCGGGGCAGAGGGAAUUCCUGGUGUAGCGGUGAAAUGCGUAGAUAUCUGGAGGAACACCGGUGGCGAAGGCGGCAUCCUGGACCGACACUGACGCUGAGGAGCGAAAGCCAGGGGAGCAAACGGG
rnacentral:rRNA from 1 species